GCAAGGAAUAUUGGGCAAUGGGCGAAAGCCUGACCCAGCGACACCGCGUGGGGGAAGAAGGUUUUCGGAUCGUAAACCCCUUUUCCCAGGGAAGAUAGUGACGGUACCUGAGGAAUAAGUCCCGGCCAACUACGUGCCAGCAGCCGCGGUAAUACGUAGGAGGCGAACGUUAUCCGGAUUUACUGGGCGUAAAGAGAGCGUAGGCGGUCGCUUAAGUCGAGUGUGAAAUCUCUUGACUCAAUCAAGAGGGGUCAUUCGAUACUGGGAGACUCGAGGGCGGCAGAAGGAAACGGAAUUCCGAGUGUAGCGGUGAAAUGCGUUGAUAUUCGGAAGAACACCAGUGGCGAAGGCGGUUUCCUAGGCUGUUCCUGACGCUGAGGCUCGAAAGCGUGGGGAGCGAAGCGGAUUAGAUACCCGCGUAGUCCACGCCGUAAACGGUGAACACUAGAUAUGGGGAGUAUCGACCCUCCUCGUGUCGAAGCUAACGCUUUAAGUGGUCCCGCC
rnacentral:rRNA from 1 species